rnacentral:rRNA from 1 species
GACGAACGCUGGCGGCGUGCUUAACACAUGCAAGUCGAACGGUGAAGUAGAGCUUGCUCUAUGGAUCAGAGGCGAACGGGUGAGUAACACGUGGGCAACAUGCGCCAGACUCUGGGAUAACUCCUCGAGAGAGGGGCUAAUACCGGAUAUUUGCAUUGUAAGACAUCUUGUGAUGCAGAAAGAAUUUCGGGCUGGGAUGGGCCCGCGGCCUCUAUGCUUGUUGGUGAGGUAACGGGUCUCCAAGGCGAAGACGGGUAGCCGGCCUGAGAGGGGGACCGGCCACACUGGGACUGAGACACGGCCCAGACUCCUACGGGAGGCAGCAGUGGGGAAUAUUGGGCAAUGGGCGCAAGCCUGAUCCAGCAACGCCGCGUGAGGGAUGAAGGUCCUCGGAUUGUAAACCUCUUUCAGCAGGGAAGAAGCGAAAGUGACGGUACCUGCAGAAGAAGCACCGGCUAACUACGUGCCAGCCGCCGCGGUAA